rnacentral:rRNA from 1 species
AAAAUUCUAAGGCGCUUGAGAGAACUCAGGAGAAGGAACUCGGCAAAUUAACACCGUAACUUCGGGAGAAGGUGUGCCCCGGUAGCGUGUAGAGACUUGCUCUCGAAGCGCGAUGGGGUUGCAGUGAAAUGGUGGCUGCGACUGUUUAAUAAAAACACAGCACUCUGCAAACACGAAAGUGGACGUAUAGGGUGUGACGCCUGCCCGGUGCCGGAAGGUUAAGUGAUGGGGUGCAAGCUCUUGAUAAGCCCCGGUAAACGGCGGCCGUAACUAUAACGGUCCUAAGGUAGCGAAAUUCCUUGUCGGGUAAGUUCCGACCUGCACGAAUGGCGUAACGAUGGCCACACUGUCUCCUCCUGGGACUCAGCGAAGUUGAAAUGUUUGUGAAGAUGCAAUCUACCCGCGGCUAGACGGAAAGACCCCAUGAACCUUUACUGUAGCUUUGCAUUGGACUUUGAACCGGUUUGUGUAGGAUAGGUGGGAGACUGUGAAGCCGGGACGCUAGUUUCGGUGGAGUCAACCUUGAAAUACCACCCUGAUUUGUUUGAGGUUCUAACCUUGGUCCGUGAAUCCGGAUCGGGGACCGUGCAUGGUAGGCAGUUUGACUGGGGCGGUCUCCUCCCAAAAGGUAACGGAGGAGUACGAAGGUACGCUUAGGGCGGUCGGACAUCGCCCACAAAGUGCAAUGGCAAAAGCGUGCUUGACUGCGAGACCCACAAGUCGAGCAGGUACGAAAGUAGGUCAUAGUGAUCCGGUGGUUCUGUAUGGAAGGGCCAUCGCUCAACGGAUAAAAGGUACUCUGGGGAUAACAGGCUAAUUCCUCCCAAGAGUUCAUAUCGACGGGGGAGUUUGGCACCUCGAUGUCGGCUCAUCACAUCCUGGGGCUGUAGUCGGUCCCAAGGGUAUGGCUGUUCGCCAUUUAAAGUGGUACGCGAGCUGGGUUUAAAACGUCGUGAGACAGUUUGGUCCCUAUCUGCCGUGGGCGCUGGAAAUUUGAAGGGGGCUGCUCCUAGUACGAGAGGACCGGAGUGGACGAACCUCUGGUGUACCGGUUAUGACGCCAGUCGUAUCGCCGGGUAGCUAAGUUCGGAAGAGAUAAACGCUGAAAGCAUCUAAGCGUGAAACUCGCCUUAAGAUAAGAUUUCCCGGAGUCUUGAACUCCCUGAAGGGUCGUCGAAGACCACGACGUUGAUAGGUCAGGU